rnacentral:snRNA from 1 species
GUUCUCGCUUCGGCAGCACAUAUACUAAAAUUGGAACCAUACAGAGAAAUGAGCUUGGCCCCUGCGCAAGGAUGACACAAAAAUUCAUGAAGUGUUCCACGUUUUU